rnacentral:rRNA from 1 species
UACGUAGGGUGCAAGCGUUAAUCGGAAUUACUGGGCGUAAAGCGUGCGUAGGCGGCUAUGUAAGACAGAUGUGAAAUCCCUGGGCUUAACCUAGGAACUGCAUUUGUGACUGCAUUGCUAGAGUGUGGUAGAGGGAGAUGGAAUUCCGCAUGUAGCAGUGAAAUGCGUAGAUAUGCGGAGGAACACCAAUGGCGAAGGCAAUCUCCUGGACCUGCACUGACGCUCAUGCACGAAAAGCGUGGGGAGCAAACAGG